AAGCGAAUAUCUAAGGCUACGAUCCACGAAAAGAAACUAGACACAAUAAGAAGUCUGUGGAAGAAAAUUGAAGGUAAUUCAGGUAUCGGAAGAUCAUGAACAGAGGUCCCGAACGUCGACAACGCGGUUUACGGAUUUCAAGGGACAUAAUCGAACUUUCAUUAAGGAUAUAUUCGUGACAACAACUUAAGUUAACCAGCAAGGAAUAAGAGAAGAAACAAACAUUCCAUUGUAGCAAGGAAUAAGAGAAGAAAAGAAUGGCGGGACAAAGCUUGAGAAAUCUCAAAAUUGUGGUGUUCAUCUUCCUAGCCCUUACUUCUGGAUGGAUGGUGGUGCAGACAGAGGGGCGGACAUGCUAUAAGCACAGCGAUGCAUUUAUAGGACCGUGCAUUGCAGCAACAUGUGCUGAACUUUGCAUUUCUUUUGAGAAGUGGGAUGACGGAUUUUGCUCGGGUGAUAAAUGCACUUGUACGAAGCAAUGUGCUGAGUCCAUGCUUUAAUGGGUUUGUAAUUCACCACAGUUGUUGCUAUCUGAAUGUAAUAAGCGACUCCAAUUCUACUGAAUUGCACAACAUGUUUACUAAUCAAAGCUUCCUUCUUCCAUUUUAUAAUUUUUA